UACAGAGGGUGCGAGCGUUGUUCGGAAUUAUUGGGCGUAAAGCGCUUGUAGGCGGCACGUCAAGUCGCGUGUGAAAUCCCCAGGCUUAACCUGGGAAGUGCGCGCGAAACUGACGAGCUUGAGUGCCGGAGAGGGUCGCGGAAUUCCCGGUGUAGAGGUGAAAUUCGUAGAUAUCGGGAGGAACACCAGUGGCGAAGGCGGCGACCUGGACGGACACUGACGCUGAGACGGCGAAAGCGUGG
rnacentral:rRNA from 1 species